CUGCUCCGAGUGUUGCGUUGUCUAGCAAACGGCCCCUGGCUCCCUCUACGAGGUGGAAGAAGCCCUAGGUGCAAACGUCCUUAGCGAAGACGGCAAGGGGCGCAUGGAGGAGAGACCCACAACAUGGAUGGGGACGUUCGGAGCACACGGGACAUGGAGGCGUUGGGAUCUAGAUGGAUGGACAAAGAGUGGGGGCGGACUGGGUCACUAGAUCCCAUCAAUGAUGAGGCCGGCAUCAGGGCCACCCACGGAAGGGGACAAGGCCCGCAACGAUAGCAUCAAGGUUUGCUGCUUCAACAACGACAAGCACUCUCCAAGAUCCUUAAUAUCCUCGUAUUUGCUAUGAUUUUGGUUAAUUGCUAAUGUGUGUGCUCCUCUGAUGGCUGCAACAGGUGUUUGAGAAGCACUGCAUCGUGUUCACCAUCAGAACCUUCGUGCCUCCAUCAUCCAUCCUCACAUGACGUGCUGGUACUUGCGCUCCUUCCUGCGGCUUUCUGCUCUGCAGUUCAGCUAUCUAGAUUUUAGUAUUUGUCAUUCUUUAUAGGGAGAGUCGGGGAGAUCGGAGAUGUGUGAAAAUCAAUUUUUUUGUGGUUCAGGCUGGUUUUCUCAAUUGCUUUAUAGAAUGUAGUUGUAGGAGGAAGUGUUGAAUCAUGCAUAUUAUCUAUAACUACAACUUUGUUAGACUUGGGCAUAGUUCUUCACUUUGAUAGAGAUUGGGGAAUGACCAGAUCAUUUGUUGGUUCCUAAUUUUAGUUUGAAGUUCAUUGAGUAAAUGUCUGCUGCUAUUACAACUUAACUCAGUGGAAUUGACAAAUUGAUUUUUGGCUAUUUGUAUGGUCGUUAGUACUAUUGCUCUAAAUUUUAUACGGUACUAAUUAAAGUCCUCAUCACUGCUGAUGUCAUUGAUGUGUACAAACUCUUGCUAUCGUAGUUUACUAAACAAUAUAAAUGUUUGUCAUUGCUUUCAAAUGCAUUUUAGUAAUUGAAAAGGCUGCUUGUUAAUUCAAGAGAGUGCCUCUACUAAUUAUUAUACCUAAGUAUGAAAAAUUCAGAGAAUUGCUGAAACAUAUUAAUCCGGACAUAUUAUAGGUUAAGUCAUCAUGAUUACUAUCAACCCAAUGAAUUUGGUGUGAAAUCAAAUAUACUUAAAUUAGUAUCAAUCCAAUGAGGAUUCCUUGCCAGUCUGCAUUGAAGCAAAGCCUGUACAACACGCUCCAGGUGAUAUGAUUGGUGUCGUUGGUUCCUUUUCAACAAAUGAAACUAAGAUAAGGUAUAUGAGAGAAACCAAAACCCUCAGGUUGGAGGCCUCCUGCCUACCUCGGCCAUCACUGGUUGUAGGUUGGUUCUUAAUCAACUAGGUGUAAAGGUUCUCGUUGUCUCUCUAUCCUAUCUAUGUGUACUUUAUACUAUUAUCCAACAGCUUAAAAAAUGUCAAAUUCUUUAUUCCAUGUUAUUUUUAAUUUAUAUGAUCUUUAGGAGAUGAUGUAAAGAAAAGUCAUAAAGGUAGGUGACUAAAAACAGGAGGAUUUUGUUUUGACAGUAAUGAUGUUCUUGCUCGAUCAACUAUAUCUAUCCUUGGUGAUUAAAAAUACUUGAUUACUGAUAUGCCAUGUUGCAGCAAUGAAUUGUGUAGAACUAAAUUUAUUAGUCAUUCCUUGUUGGAGAAAGUAGAGUGAUGUUGUAUAUUCUUAACUAACAGUAUAAGUUGUGUCUUCAUAGGUUGAUGGAUGUCUUCAAUAGUUUCUCUUAUGUGUUGUCAUCUUGUGGUAUGCUAUCCUCAACCUUUCUCGAGCACUGAUAUUUACAGCUAAGUUAAACUGAUGCAUAUGUGUGAGUUCCAAUGGACAGACAGUUGGUAGGGUUCAUAGUUUUAUUAUAGCUGUAGGGACAGUGGGACACUAAUCUUAGUAGUCGAUUCUUAAAUACGUAUAUUUAGUUGUCAUUGGUGACUUCCAUUUUACUUCGUUUAGUUUGAAGUCGACAAUGAUAGUACUAACAGACUUUAUUUGGUUCCUUCAAGGAUUUUGUUAAUAAUUUUUCUUACCUCAUAGAUAGCUUUUACACCCUAUCCCUUUUUGUUUUGUAAAUAAAAAAGUCAUCAGUUAUUUUUUCUUAGAUUCAUAGGUUGGCAUUGGAUGUGAUUGAGUCUGAUUCUGAAUCUCUUCUCUCUCUCACCAUCCUUGUUUAGGAAGAACACGUGGCCAGGAAUUCCAAAGGAUGUUAUCCCAAAUUGGUUGAGGUAUGUGAGGCCACUUUAUUCUUUUGCUUCUUUAUUGCUUGUGGAGUUCAGCACAAGAAGCAGUCCUAGCACGACCAUGGUCUCGCCGCCACAUACUCUGCUUGCCGACUGGCGGCGCUUGGCCCCCAUUAACAAAGGCCAUUCACUACUACACUCACGUACAGUAAGGGCGGCUAAAUAUACUCUGUAAGGGCAGUUGGCCCAGCCGCCCUUAUGCAAACACUCUUACAGUGGAUUCCACUGUAAGGGCGGUUCAACACCAGCCGCUCUUAUAGUGGUCCACUGUAAGGGCGGCUAAUAACACCAGCCGCCCUUACUAGUGACCACUGUAAGGGCGGCUGGUGUUUCUAGCCGCCCUUACAGUGAGUAUUAGUAAGAGCGGUCAGUGUUCCAGCCGCUCCUAUUGUCUGUAUUUGUAAGGGCGGCUCAAUCUAGAGCCUCCCUUCCAGUUAAUUUUCAGCAAAAAUAAUAAUAAUUAUAAUAAUCAAAUAGAGUAGCAUAUAUAUANNNNNNNNNNNNNNNNNNNNNNNNNNNNNNNNNNNNNNNNNNNNNNNNNNNNNNNNNNNNNNNNNNNNNNNNNNNNNNNNNNNNNNNNNNNNNNNNNNNNAUAUAUAUAUUUAUAUAUAUAAAUUACGGAUUCUUUACUGCGAACGUAUAUGAGUGCAUGUCUCUGUUUCUUUGGCUUUUUCUGUGUGUUUGUCUGUGUGUGUGUCUGUGUCUGUAUAUAUAUAUAUAUAUAUAUAUAUAUAUAUAUAUAUAUAUAUAUAUAUAUAUAUAUAUAUAUAUAUAUAUAUAUAUAUAUAUAUAUAUAUAUAUAUAUAUAUAUAUAUAUAUAUAUAUAUAUAUAUAUAUAUAUAUAUAUAUAUAUAUAUAUAUAUAUAUAUAUAUAUAUAUAUAUAUAUAUAUAUAUAUAUAUAUAUAUAUAUAUAUAUUAUCAAAUCUGACUACAUCACAGCACAAACAUCAAAUUCAAGUUCCAUCAUCAAAUUUACAAAUUCAAAACUUCUAUCAUAACAAGUUUCACAAGUUUGUCAAAUCCAAAAAUUACACUCUUUCUACAGAUCUAAAAUCCAUAAAAAAAAUCUAAUAUACUAGCUAGCUAGAACUGCAAUCAAAAUCCAUCAUCGAAGAGCAAGAAAUAAGAUCCUUGCCUUACAAGCUUAGGCUUGUAGAAGAUCAAUGGUGUCCUCGUCCUACAUCUGCCUCAGCUCUAGCAACAACAGAAUUUUGGCUUCCUGUGUUCAGAGGCGCAAAGAAAUGAGAACUCAACAGAAGAUCUCCAGCGACCAAAUCAAAACUUAUCUCUUAAAAAUCAAAACUAGAUUGCAAGAAGGAUAUAUAUUGUUCAGAACAAGAACCAAGUACAAGUGCAUUCUAAUUAAUUUUAGUAUAAGGCAAUUAGCAAAAUAUAAAUAGUGAGAGGAAGCAAUUAAUAGAAAACUAAUUUACUACUUGUGAAUCCAGUAAGUAUACCUCAAAGAAAUAUAUGUCAAAAAAUAGCAAGCACACAUGAAGUGGUGAAAUACCUGAUGAUAGGCGUUGGAUUGUUGUUAGACCUCUACGACAUGGAUAUAUAUCCAGUACUACCUGCCAAAUGAUAGCAUAAGGAUUGUGCCAUUUAUUUUAUUAUCUAAAUGUUAGGAACACUAUCAAGUUACAAAUCAUAUUGUGACAUCUUCCUACAUUUGCAGUAGUCAUACUAAUUCUAUGCCUAAAAAACAAUGCUACCCAGUACGGAUAUACAAUUUUAGUAGAAAACUAACAAAUAGAUGAUGACAAAGGUGCAGCUUAAACCUUUUCCUUUUACUGGAGAAAUUAAAUGACUAAUCAUGCAUUGCCAACACAACUUUGAAACUAGGACUGAUAAAGUCCAACCUAUCCAGCCUAAUAAGACAUUGCUCCGAUCUGCCUCCACUACCACAAUGUAAGGUCGUGCUAGACACUUCCACCUACUGUGAAGUAACAGGUUCAUGAUGAAGAGUUUCUAAAAUGCAAUCCAAUAUUAUUUCUUCAACCAUAUCAAAACCACUCAGAGUCAUCAAUAGAUGCAAGAAGCACAGCCAUAAGGUGCAACUCACUUGUGGAAACCAUCUAUGACUUUGGUGUUAAUCUGCAGCACAAUGAACUUGCUGCUAAAUCCUGACUCCCUCUACAGGUACUCAGGGUGAUAGCCAUAGCGAUCACAAAGACACCACCACAUAAGCUCAGCUCAGAAUUGGCAUAGACUUGUGCAACAGGUCCUUAUUUCCUUUAACUGCAUAGUGAAAGAGACAAAAUGAGACUAGAGAAAUCAAACAUAUUUUUUGAUAACAUCCCAAAUCCAAUACUAAAUGCAAACUGUGUGUGAGCUUGUUAAGUCACAGCCAUGAGGCUAAAUAGGUAGCAAACAAGACCUUCGACAGGGCAUAGAAAACCAAUAGCUCUCAGGCACAACAAUUUUGUAAAUUUGAGAAAAUACUGCUACUCAUAUACUGAACCAAUAACCCACAAUUCAUCCAAAUUUGGUUUUUCCCUGCAGUGUCCCAAUCCCUUUGGUUUUUCCACCCAAAUAAAUUUCUUUAUCCCUUUUGGUUUUUUGGCAAAGUUGUUUUCACUCUUGUGGCCUGCAGUAGCAAAGGCAAUAAUAAGCACCAUGUUUGGACAUAUAAUGAUGUCAUAUACAUACAUAAAAUAGCUACAUGAGGUAAUUUGAAUAACUAAAAGAAUAUUUCAUUCCAACAUUAUUAUUAUCUAUAACCAGGUAAAAAACUCUGAUAUAAUGAUAACUUGCAUCACAGGAGCAUAGAAAAAUAUAGAGUUAAUAGUACUUGUCAGAGGGAAAAAUAACUUCCUGAGUAACAAUGGAUUCAGUGUUAUGAUAGCAUCUGUAAGAAAAUAUAUUAAAAAACAAUGUAUUUCCAUUGAUUAACUCUCCGUCUCUAUGGCAUCCAUAAAUUAAACUGAAAAAUAAAGGGAUCUAGAAAAAGAUGUCAUGUGUAUGAAGAAAUCCAAUCUACAUGCUAUUGGUCAAGGAUCCUUCCAUGUCAUCUUUAUACGUAUUGGAGCAAUUAGUAGUACUAGGUAACUGGUGGCACCUAGACUCUUAUGUGAUAGCAAAGAGAAUCUCACAAUCAGUUGUUGCUUUAUGCGGGGGGAACGAAAAUGAUCUAAGACUGAAUUAAAAAACAAAACAAGGCGGAGGGAAAACUUGACCUGAACAAUGCUCUGCAUCUGCAUCUGGGCAGGCAGCGUGGAUCUGCUCUGCCUCUGCAUCGGAUCUGCUCUGCCUCUGCAUCCUGGCCGCGGCGCUGGCUGCUGCUCCGUGUGGCCUAUCGCCAACCGGCCGAACCUGCAACCACUGAGGUUACCGGCACCUGCGCCAUGCCUCUACGAGCUCGUUGGGCAGCCGCGGUCGAGUGCAAGGUCAUGCCGCCGGAGGGGGCGCCCUUGCCGUCGCAGGUGCGCGCCGCUAGGGCCUCGUCUCGUACCUAUCUGCGCCGCCAGAGGAGGGGAGCAGGAGUAGGGAGGACUGCGUUUGGGAGAAAAGAGAAAGUGAGGACCUAGGGUUUUGACUGUCGAAGGAGAAGAUGAGAGCAUGGGUUUUAUUCAGCAUUUCGUGAAUCUCAGCCGUUCAAAGUCGAUCCAAUAGUGAAAAGCAGAUAUGCUUCGAUGUGAGUUGAAACAAGCCGAAUCGCCCAUGGGCUAAAUACAGUGCUUUUUUCCAAAUAUAAAAUUAUUUGUCAAAAAAAUAAAGAUUUUCUAUAUACUUAAAGUUCAAAAUAUAAUUAUAUAAAAAUUUUAAGAUAUUCCAUGUAUUUUUAUAUAUAUAUAUAAUAAUUUUUAACUAUUCCAUGUUUUUAUGAAGAUUCAAAACUGAAUGUUUUUAGAAUAAAAAAAAAUAGAUUUAUGUAAAUUUAAAAAUUCAAAUUCAAAUAUGUAAUAAUUUUUAAUUAUUUCAAAAAAAUAUAUGAUUAAUCUAUAUAUAUAUAUGCAAAGUUUAUUCUUUAGUUCCUCGUUUGACCAAGUCAAAUCUUGGAUUUUUUUAGAAAAGACACUUUGACCGGAACCUAGAUGGUCUCAGCUAUAAAAGUCACGAAUACAAAGUUUUUCUGGCUCAUCAAGAUACACAUUUGGUGUAAUGGUCAACUUUUCAUCUGUGAGAGUUUGGACCACUCAAAUUUUGAAAUUUCGAAUUUUCACACCUACAUGCAUGUUUUUAAAACCCUAGACGGCCCCAACUCAAAAAGUCAUGUAUAGCAAGUUUGUUUCACUCAUCAAAUGCAAAAAUGUCCUAUGUAUUCAUGAGUUUUCCAUUUGAGGCCAUCCACGGUUCUGAAAAUUAGCGUUUCGCUAUGAAUUCUUUCAAAUUUCAAAAUUUAGUGGUCCAACCUUUUUCAAAUGAAAAAGUGACCAUUAGAGAAAAUAUAGGUCUUGAUGAGUGAAACAAACUUUGUAUUCAUGAGUUUUCUAUUUGAGGCCAUCCAGGGCUCGGUCAAAGUGUGUGUUUGUGAAACCCACUAUUUUGACUUUGGUCAAACUUGGUCAAAUGACCCAUCUGAGUACUUCAAAUGGAAAACUUUUGAAUACCAAGUUGUUAGGUCUCAUCAAGACCUACAUUUCAUAUAUGGAUCAUAUUUUCAUCCGGAUAAAUUUGAUCGAGUCCGAGGCACAUGUUUUCAAAUUCGAAGACGGGCUUUGGUCAAACAACGGAGAAAAUGACUUGGAAUGAAAAUCUUUUGAAUACCAAGUUGUUAGAGCUCAUCAAUAUCCAAACUUUUAUAUAGACCAUUUUUCCAUUUAGGAAAGUUUAUGUAAACAACACUGACCAAAUCUUGAAUCUCACACAAACUUUAUGAAACUAUACGUGGGAAGUGUGGAUUUUGAACUACACUUUGCCAGCACUUUGUCAAAUGCAAAAAUAGUCUAAAUAUGAAAUGUAGAUCUUGAUGAGUGGAGCAAUAUUGGUAUUCAUGAGUUUUCCAUUUGAGGCCAUCCAUGGUUCUCAUAAUUAGCGUUUCUCUAUGAAUUCUUUCAAAUUUCAAAAUUUAGUGGUCCAAACUUUUUCAAAUGAAAAAGUGACCAUUAGAGAAAAUGUAGGUAUUGAUGAUUGGAACAAUCUUUGUAUUCAUGAGUUUUCUAUUUGAGGCCAUCCAGGGCUGGGUCAAAGUGUGUGUUUGUGAAACCCACUAUUUUGACUUUGGUCAAACUUGGUCAAAUGACCCAUCUGAGUACUUCAAAUGGAAAACUUUUGAAUUCCAAGUUGUUAGGUCUCAUCAAGACCUACAUUUCAUAUAUGGAUCAUAUUUUCAUCCGGAUAAAUUUGAUCGAGUCUGAGGCACAUGUUUUCAAAUUCGAAGGUGGGCUUUGGUCAAACGACAGAGAAAAUGACUUGGAAUGAAAAUCUUUUGAAUACCAAGUUGUUAGAGCUCAUCAAUAUCCAAACUUUUUAUAUAGACCAUUUUUCCAUUUGGGAAAGUUUAUGUAAACAAUACUCACCAAAUCUUGAAUCUCACACAAACUUUAUGAAACUAUACGUGGGAAGUGUGGAUUUUGAACUACACUUUGCCAGCACUUUGUCAAAUGCAAAAAUGGUCUAUAUAUGAAAUGUAGAUCUUGAUGAGUGGAGCAAUAUUGGUAUUCAUGAGUUUUCCAUUUGAGGCCAUCCAUGGUUCUGAAAAUUAGCGUUUCGCUAUGAAUUCUUUCAAAUUUCAAAAUUUAGUGGUCCAAACGUUUUCAAAUGAAAAAGUGACCAUUAGAGAAAAUGUAGGUCUUGAUGAGUGGAACAAACUAUGUAUUCAUGAGUUUUCUAUUUGAGGCCAUCCAGGGCUGGGUCAAAGUGUGUGUUUGUGAAACCCACUAUUUUGACUUUGGUCAAACUUGGUCAAAUGACCCAUCUGAGUACGUCAAAUGGAAAACUUUUGAAUACCAAGUUGUUAGGUCUCAUCAAGACCUACAUUUCAUAUAUGGAUCAUAUUUUCAUCCGUUUAAAUUUGAUCGAGUCCGAGGCACAUGUUUUCAAAUUCGAUGAUGGGCUUUGGUCAAACUUGGUCAAACGACAGAGAAAAUGACUUGGAAUGAAAAUCUUUUGAAUACCAAGUUGUUAGAGCUCAUCAAUAUCCAAACUUUUUAUAUAGACCAUUUUUCCAUUUGGGAAUGUUUAUGUAAAAAAUACUCAUCAAAUCUUGAAUCUCACACAAACUUUAUGAAACUAUACGUGGGAAGUGUGGAUUUUGAACUACACUUUGCCAGCACUUUGUCAAAUGCAAAAAUGGUCUAUAUAUGAAAUGUAGAUCUUGAUGAGUGGAGCAAUAUUGGUAUUCAUGAGUUUUCCAUUUGAGGCCAUCCAUGGUUCUGAAAAUUAGCGUUUCGCUAUGAAUUCUUUUAAAUUUCAAAAUUUAGUGGUCCAAACUUUUUCAAAUGAAAAAGUGACCAUUAGAGAAAAUGUACGUCUUGAUGAGUGGAACAAACUUUGUAUUCAUGAGUUUUCCAUUUGAGGCCAUCCAGGGUUCCAAAAUCCAUCUUACAACUUUUGAAAAUUUAAAUUUCAAAUGGUAAAAUGAAUUAUGUAUCAAAUUAAAUGUAGAUUUUGAUGAGUUCUAACAUCCUUGUAUUUAUUUUUUUUAUUUCAGGUUAUUUAGUGUCUCAUUUGAUCAAGUUUGUCCAAAACCAGUGUAGGGACGGUUGGUGAUUCAGCCACUCUAUGACUAUUACAAACACUUUCUCAAAUAGAAAAAUAAACUAUAUAAUAAAUGUAGAUCUUGAUGAGUUAUACAAUCGUAAUGUUCAAAAGUUUUUUAUUUGAAGUCAUUUAGUAUCUCGUUUGACCAAUUUUGUCUAAAACCACUGUAGGGGCGGCUGGUGAUUGAGCCGCCCCUACAGUAGUCCACUAUA
rnacentral:lncRNA from 1 species